UACAAACAUACCUAACAAUUGUUUUUUUUUUCUUUUUACCUAAGCUUUGGUGCAUUAAGUAUUAAAAGUAGCAAGAGUUACAAUGGAGCAAAAAUGUGCUUUUGAAGACUCUAGAAGAUGAAAACAAAAGUGAUUGGUGCGGUUUAAAAACGUUGGAAAAUCCUUAUAGUGUGGCCCAUAUUAGAUUGUUGAGGCAAGGCCCAACAAAGUGGCACCUUAACUGAGAUCCAGAGAAGGAUAACGAUUGGAUUGCAAGGAAUAGCGAAGCCCAUGUAGUGAAAGUCAAAUUUUCCGAGUAUGGCGAGAAGAUGUAUGAUCGCCUGAAGAGGGAGAUUGGAAGCUGCAUGCAUUUUCUCAAUAGGUGAAAAACGAUCGGAUCAAAAGAGGGAAACCAAAACUGAAUGCAAUUACUGGAGCCGACUGGAUCUGAAUCUCUGAAGGAUGAGAUCCUGUCUUAAAUCAAAGCAGAGAUGUGGUCGCCGAUUAGUUAAGUCGAUUUGAAGAUUCGAUUGUGGAGUCAUUGAUUUCGCUAGGCCUGGCAAGCUAAAAGUGAGAGAUAUCGAAGAUUCUGGUCACCAGAGAGAGAGAUCAGACCAGAGAUAGUACCUUCCCAUUGAUCAGAAGCGAGGUUGAGGUGUAGAUUAGAGUUGGAGGGCCCCGAAAACAAUUAAUCUAAGUGACUUCACCGACAUAAACGAAAAAGAUAAUCAUCUUUUAAGUUGAAGAACUUCAUCUAUCUUUCGUAUGUCGAUCCUUAGAGGUCUUGAUCUUAAAGUAUGUGUUGAGAGAAAAGAAUUUCAAAGUACCCACGGUGAUAGAGUGAACGAAUCGACAUACUGCAAAUUUCAGGACAGUGACGGUUGAACUUGAUAUCAAAGGACAAUAAAGAUGAGCCUUAAGUUGACCCAGAUAGAGACCAAAUAUCUUUUGUUGCAUAACAGGUAAUUUUAAAGCUUUGGUAUAGUAAUUGAUAGGGCAAGAUAAGUUACCGAUUCAUCUGUUGUUGCUGUACAUUACAAACGUCUAGAAAGAGAAGUUACUGAUGCAUCAGUUAGAACCAUUUCAAGUGACACUCCCCCAUAGGAGGUGUUUUGUUUCCACGUAUGUAAGCAUUUAACUUGAACUCACCAUGAUGUUUUAAAAGGUUUGAGAUUUUUGAGAAGAGUAAAAAUUGUUUUCUUAGACA